CAAAACCUGCUAUGUGCGUGAGGAGUCUUUUUAAACCCACAUUUCCCAUAAGGGAUGCCAUAUUCCCCAGUGAAUUGCAGGCCUCCCGAAAAGCGGCCUUUGGCUCUUUUCGGAUGUUGGAAGCAGAGAAGUUGGGGAGAGGCGACCCACCUGCAUCUCGUGCAGGUUCUAAUCAGAUUCCCACGGCAUCAGCGGGCUGACC
rnacentral:other from 1 species